UACGGAGGGUGCAAGCGUUAUCCGGAUUUACUGGGCUUAAAGGGUGCGUAGGCGGGUUGGUAAGUCAGUUGUGAAAUACUUUCGCUUAACGAAGGAACUGCCAUUGAUACUACCAGUCUUGAAUACAGUGGAGGUAGGCGGAAUGCGUCAUGUAGCGGUGAAAUGCUUAGAUAUGACGCAGAACACCAAUUGCGAAGGCAGCUUGCUACACUGUUAUUGACACUGAGGCACGAAAGCGUGGGGAUCAAACAGG
rnacentral:rRNA from 1 species